UAUGCUACCUGGUGCCGUGAAGAAUCGCACAAAAAUAUUCCAGUUAUUAAACUCUUAUAUAUUCGAUUUCAAAUUUAAUUACUUUUACAAUAAGGUGUAUAUUCAAGAAAAAAAAACGUUUUUUGAGAUUGCUAAGGUCAAAGCAGAAAAAACAUAUCUCAAUGUAGCCUACUUGUUUGCUUGUGCAACACACAAUGUCGAGAAAAUAAAUCGAUAAAAAAACAGCGUUGCCUUAUCUUCUCAACCAAGAAACAAAGACAACUGCUAAGUGAUUUAGGUAGUUUUAUGUUGUUGGGCUCUAUUUUAUAUCCCCGCAACACGAAACUGUCUUAAUUGCCUCGCAGUGAGAUUCAGCACAACAAGACAAAUAUGUUGCGGCUAAGUCGGAAGAGUUCAAAGAAGCAUGUUCUUAAUCAAAAAUGUAAAAGAAAAUCACCGUCUAUUUUCAGCAAGACUUAAUAUACUAACUUCCUAAUAUUAAUACACGUGCUGCACUGCUGAACUGAAAUAUUGGUGAAAUAGAAAUAGAGCUGCAUAAAAAGUACUGCGAAUUAGUGCAGGUGCAGAUAGCAAGGCCUCGGUUACGAUCAAUGCACUUUGGCCAAAGCCGCGUGCGCAUCUGAGUCUGAGAGCACGCCCACAUUGCCGGAUGCGUCUGCUGGGCCGGAGAAAAAAAUACAAAAGGCUUUAUUGGCCAUAUUCAAGCCAGACAGCCAAGUUACAACCCGAAGAAAAACAGAGUAAUAGCCCCUGUUAUAAACGAAGUCUGUUGAAGUGCCCAGAGAUCCACUCUUCUGAGAACAAGAACAUAGCAAUUGCUCAUUGACCAGACGGAAGAAAAAGUUUCUGGUCGUCCACGGUUGUCUUCCAUUAUCAGCGG
rnacentral:precursor_RNA from 1 species